rnacentral:rRNA from 1 species
UGGGGAAUUUUGGACAAUGGGCGAAAGCCUGAUCCAGCAAUGCCGCGUGUGUGAAGAAGGCCUUCGGGUUGUAAAGCACUUUUGUCCGGAAAGAAAUCCUUGGCUCUAAUACAGUCGGGGGAUGACGGUACCGGAAGAAUAAGCACCGGCUAACUACGUGCCAGCAGCCGCGGUAAUACGUAGGGUGCAAGCGUUAAUCGGAAUUACUGGGCGUAAAGCGUGCGCAGGCGGUUUGCUAAGACCGAUGUGAAAUCCCCGGGCUCAACCUGGGAACUGCAUUGGUGACUGGCAGGCUAGAGUAUGGCAGAGGGGGGUAGAAUUCCACGUGUAGCAGUGAAAUGCGUAGAGAUGUGGAGGAAUACCGAUGGCGAAGGCAGCCCCCUGGGCCAAUACUGACGCUCAUGCACGAAAGCGUGGGGAGCAAACAGGAUUAGAUACCCUGGUAGUCCACGCCCUAAACGAUGUCAACUAGUUGUUGGGGAUUCAUUUCCUAGUAACGUAGCUAACGCGUGAAGUUGACCGCCUGGGGAGUACGGUCGCAAGAUUAAAACUC